rnacentral:rRNA from 1 species
GACAGAGGGUGCAAACGUUGUUCGGAAUCACUGGGCGUAAAGCGUGUGUAGGCGGCUUCUCAAGUCGGGUGUGAAAUCCCAGGGCUCAACCCUGGAAGUGCAUUCGAAACUGCGUAGCUAGAGUCCUGGAGAGGAAGGUGGAAUGCUUGGUGUAGAGGUGAAAUUCGUAGAUAUCAAGCGGAACACCGGUGGCGAAGGCGGCCUUCUGGACAGUGACUGACGCUGAGACGCGAAAGCGUGGGGAGCAAACAGG